GAACCAAAAACCACUCAACUCAAAUCAGUAGUUGAAACAUUUUAUUAAGGCAAAGUGUGGAGAGCUGAGUUUCUGCAUUCCCCACAUGGGUGUGUUUUGAUUUCAUGCCGAUCUGCUUAUUUUCUCUUACCUGGAGCUUCAAAAGGAAGCUAAAAUAGGAAAUGCAGGAAAUCCUGACUAAAAUGAUGAAUAAGAGGCUAUGAUUUUACAAAGCCUGGUCUUCCAGCUCCCAAAAUAUCUGUGGUGGCCAGUUUGUUUACGUUUGUUUUUAACCGACAGUCUAUCAUGGAGUAAAAUUUUUGGUGAAAGACAAAAGCAUACUCUUUGUUGUGAUGUCAGUGAGAAAUGGAUAUGAAGAGUUUCCACACUCUAACUUCUUGUAUCUAUAUAACAAAUAAUUUGAGCAGUACCUUUCUAGUGGACUAAUAGUUUGGCAGUUCACACACCCUCCAUUUAGAUGCUAAAAAGUUCAAAUGACCCAGUUAGACUACUCAACCUUUCUAGGACUUGUGUUUUGUUUUGGUUCUAGUUUUAAGGGAGUUGUUUGAGCAUACUGUAAAAUGUAAGAUACUAAAAAUACCUUUGAUUAGAAGUGUUUUAAAUACUGUACAUAACUUGAUGGGAAAUUUGUUGCCUGUUCAAUUGGUAACUGGGAGAGAGUUUAGUGCAUCUGAUUUCAACAUUUUCUAUGGAUAUUCAUUUCUUAACUGAGUGUCUGGGAGGAAGCAAAAUAAGUAACAAACAGCUCAAAAUACACACAUAUGCACAGACACACAAAGAAAUAUAGCUUUCAUAGAUAUGUGUAACCCAUGGUGAGAGUACAUACAAUAAACCUGGAUAACUCUGAAGGGAAUGAGAUUGACUUUGUCUGGUUUUGAAUUCUUAUAGGCUUUUUUCAAAGGAAAUUAAGAAGUAGGUUGAGGAAACCUAAUUAAGCUUGCUUUGGACAGGUAUCUCUAUGAGGCCCUACUAUGAGGCCAAUAUGUAUUGGAGGGCAAAGGGAUGUCUUGAGUGAAAAGAAAAUAUAGUACUUUGCAGUGGGAAACAUAUUUUAAAAAUGUAUCAGUGAAAACUAGAAUGCAUUUGAAAAGUUUUUGAACCCAUCUCCAAGAUAGGAUUGUAAAUUCAUGAAGUAUUUAUCAAUAUGUUGCUUUUGGGGUGUUAGAUGUCUAUGUACCACCGCUUUUUUCUUCCCAACUUUCAAUGUAUCUAUAGUCCAGAAGUUUGCCUCAGCUGAGUAAGAAGAAAAAAGGUGAGCAGAUCCUAUUCAAAGGCAUCAGCAGCCAAACAGAUGUGGUAAGAGUGAUGGUUCUUGUGUUAGAAGGCACCUGGCUGCUGCUUUGAUUCAGGAAAAUGGCACCCAGAGAGUUGUUUGGAAAUGAGUCAAAUGAUCCAGGAUGGGAGAAGCUGAUUUAUUUGACUAAAUUUAGGCAAGAGGCAUUGAAACUACUCCCACUUAUCAAGGUUUAUGCAAGGCCAUUAUAGUAUUUCCACAUUAUCUCUCACUUUAUUAAUUCAUUCAAGCAGUCUAUUUGCUUUUUGGCCCAAUGUAACCCAUUGAGCAGACAUCUUAAUUGAGCUGUUCAUAAUGAUGCCUACAUCUUUUUCAUGAGGAGUGCCAACUAAUUCAGAACCCAUCAGAGCCAUUAGUGCAUGGGAACUUUAAAUGGUCUUUUUCAAUAUGCAUUACUUUGCAAUGAACUACUCUGAAGUGUAUUGGCCAUGAAUAACCUAAUCAAUUUGUCUUGGUUUCUUUGGGAAUACCAGAGAAUCACUCAGUGCCUCAGCUGGCUUUAUGAUACUAUGAUCUCUUGGUUAAACUGGUUGGUCAAACUUCAAUUCUUACUUUCAGUAUUUUCAUUUUUAGAAUGUGUUUGGCCAUCAAAAUCCUAAGGUUCAGUGGAGGGUAUUUAGUGCAGCAGUUAAGACCCCACUUGGGAUAUCUGCAUUCUGUAUUGUAAUGCCUGGGUUCAGGGCUGAAUCCACUUCUGAUUCUAGCUUUCUGCCAGUACACACCCUGCAAGGCAGCAAGUGAUGGCUCAAGUACUUGAGUUCCUGUCACCCACAUGGGCAACAUGGAUUGAGUUCUCUGCUCCUGAUUUUAACUUGGUAGCCCUGGCUGUUACAGGAAUUUGGGCAGUGAACCAGUAUAUGAGAUCUCACUGUGUGUCUAUCUCUCUACCUUUGAAGUGAAUAAAAUAGUGGUAGGUGUUGUAGCACAAUUUGUUUAACGGACAUUUGGGAUGUUGGCAUCCCAUUUGGAGUGCAAGUUUGAGUCACGGCUAUUCUGCUUCUGAUCCUGUUCCCUGCCAACAUGCCUGGGAAGCAGUAGAAGGUGGCUCAAGUACUGAAUUCUUGCCACUUAUGUGGAGAUCUGGAUGGAGUUCAGGGCCUUGGCCUGCCUCACCCCUGGCUGUUGUGGUUGUUUGGCAAGUGAAUCAAUGGAUGGGAGAUCUCUCUCUGUCUGUCCCUCUCUGCAACUCUGCCUUCAAAUAAAUAAGUAAAUAAUUAAAAAAAUUUUUUGACUUGAAAGGCAGAAUUACAGAGAGAAUGAACCAUCUACGGGUUUACUCCCCAAAUGGGCACAACAGGAGAAGCUGGGCUGAUCCGAAGCCAGGAGCCAGGAGCUUCUUCCAGAUCUCCCACAUGGGUGCAGGGACCCAAGAACUUGGGCCAUAUUCUGCUGCUUUCUCAGGCACAUUAGCAGGGAACUGGAUUGUAAGUGAAGCAGCCAGGACUAGAACUGGUGCCCAUAUGGGAUGCCGGCACCCAGGCAGCAACCUUACGUGCUAUGCCACAGCACCAGCCCCAAAUAAACAAAUUCUUAAAAAAAAAAUAGAACUAUAGAAAUUUAAAAUACCCUGAAUUUUUAUUUUAAGUUAAAGUUAUAUUUGAAGUCUUUUCUAUUAUUUAAAAAAAAACCUUAGGCACUAAAAAUCUCCAAAGGAUGAAGGAAAUCAGAAAGUAUAUGUCUCAUAAUAAAAUUCUACAUAGAAGAAAUAUAUUUCAAUAUUCAACCAGGCUAAUGGAUUCCAUAAUAAAAAUUAAUAAUUCUGCAUAUAUUUGAAUCUAGCAAAGUGCUGAUUUUGUUUGUAUGCUUUGAUUUGAAAUUUAUUGAAAUGAGUAAUCAUUCUUGAUUUUUCAAAUUCUCCCUUUAUAAAAAUAUUGAAAAUUUAAGAGUGGAAGUAAUCUUUAGACUUCCAUCCUGCUAAGAGAUAGGCAAAUCUUUCUCUGGAAUUAGGCAUAUAUUAUAAAAGAAGGAGGAUGAUAUGCUGUGAUGUGAUGACUACUUCAUCUGUAUUUUUGCACAUAUAUGGUGAAGGUGAAUCAUAAUAUUUGGCUUCCAAAAUGUAGGAUAUUUAGAUUAGUUAUAAGGGCAACCUACUAUUGAAGUCUAUUAAAAUUUUAAUCUUGGCUUGAGAAUAUUUCAAAUAUAUGUGGAAAAUAAUUCAUAAUUUCUCAAAAUCAUGAUGUGGUUGCCAUACAGAUGAAUUAUUACUCUUCGGAGAAAUGGAAUUUGGCUGUAGCUCCAUUAUCAUCAUCCUGGCCACUAGCCGAUCCUUAGGUCACAACAACAGGUGUUUGGUGUUCUUUGCCUCAUUUUCACAAAACUAUAUGUAAUCAUGAAAGUAAAUAAUCAUGUGGUGUAUUUGAUUUACUUCAUUCUGAUUGGAUUUGGGCAUCAAAAUAACAUUAAUAGAAGUCAUAGCAAAAUAUUUUUUACCAUUCAUGACAUAAAACAACAAAUAUAUUUGUAUUUUGAGAGGAACUGCUUUUCCAGAUGAUGGGUGAAGGUCAGUAGGAAUUAUUUGAUUUUCAUCUUCAGAUUCAUAAAUCUCAUUUUGAUUUGAAAGUGGCACAGGAAAACUAUUAAUAUUACAUAUGUCAAUGACAAAUAGUAUCAAGUAUCCAAAUAUCCAUCAUCCAAUUCAGAUAUCCCUCUGUAAUCUGGGGGAUUUUGAUCAACAACAAUGAUCAAAUGGGAAGUUGUUUGUUGGCAAAAUUUCUCUUAGUGCAUAGAAACCAAAGCCAUCUUACUCUAUUGGCCCUUUAAAAAACUAUUUCAGUGAUAAUAACAACAGUUUGCAUGUUGCAGUGUCACUAUUUUUCAAGUCAGCUUUGGCAAUUUUCCCACUCACAUAUUUCUGAUUUUAUCCAUCUCAAAUUCUCUGGAGAAUGAUGGACACUCACCAGCAACCAGUUUCAUCACAAAGGAAAUAGCAAUAACAAAAAGGUUGUGCUUCCAUAGCCAUACGGCCCACCUUGCAAGCAUCAGAGAAUCUACCCAUUUUGUCAUGUCCACAUGGAGCACAGUGUGGGGAACAAGGCAGCAAUCUUAAGGACACCCAUAUUUCAUUGGCCAAUUCUGAACAGAUGUGAAAGGAUGGUGAUUAUGUGGGAAAGAAGAUGGCAAUAAUAACCAUAAAUCUGAAAGCUGAGAAUUUGCAAGGUAAUGUUAUAUAAAAGUGAAAUAGGCUUGAUGCCUGGCCAGAGAAUAUUCACAUGGAAAGCCUUCACUGCUACACUGAGCCAUUGAGAAGGUGGGACUGGCUAUCCUAUUGUCCUUACACUUCAAGGAUUGGCCUUUUUCUUCCUGGUAUUGCAGCAUCAGUGAGCACUUUGUGGAGGAGACAGCUGGGUUCCCAGAGAAGCAAUGGCCGCCUUGAUCCCUGUUCCAGGGAGAGGAGGUCAAGUCGCAGGUCAGGAAGUGGGAAUACUGGGAGUGUGAAAUAGAUCCCUGCAGUGUUCUUCGCUUGUAACUUUAUCACAAAAGCAUGGUGUGCACCAACUGCUGGAAUUCUGUUCUCCUUCCUGGGCU